GCUGUGUGAUGAUACCCCAAUGACUGACCACUCUGUAGUAGGUCCAUGGUGUGUAAAUGAUGGACUGCAUGGUUUCAAGACGGGACUGAUGGCAGC
ensembl:snoRNA SNORD21 Small nucleolar RNA SNORD21